rnacentral:rRNA from 1 species
AUUGAACGCUGGCGGCAUGCCUUACACAUGCAAGUCGAACGGCAGCACGGGAGCAAUCCUGGUGGCGAGUGGCGAACGGGUGAGUAAUAUAUCGGAACGUGCCCAGUAGUGGGGGAUAACUGCUCGAAAGAGCAGCUAAUACCGCAUACGACCUGAGGGUGAAAGGGGGGGAUCGCAAGACCCCUCGCUAUUGGAGCGGCCGAUAUCAGAUUAGCUAGUUGGUGGGGUAAAGGCCUACCAAGGCAACGAUCUGUAGUUGGUCUGAGAGGACGACCAGCCACACUGGGACUGAGACACGGCCCAGACUCCUACGGGAGGCAGCAGUGGGGAAUUGUUCGCAAUGGGCGCAAGCCUGACGACGCAACGCCGCGUGGAGGAUGAAGACCUUCGGGUCGUAAACUCCUUUCGAUCGAGACGAACGGUCCUCGGGUGAACAAUCCGGGGGAGUGACGGUACCGAGAGAAGAAGCCCCGGCUAACUCCGUGCCAGCAGCCGCCGUAAUAC